CAGGUGGGCGUGUUUUAGAGGAGGCGUGAUUUUGGCUUGGCAACCACUGCUUUGGGCAGCCGCUUCACUUUCUGCCGUCCAUGUUUCUGCCUCUCUUUAUAAUGGUUGAGGUUUGAAAGGGGUGUGGCUUUGAGGGAGGCGUGGUUUGUGGUGUCUGAAAAGUAAAAUGGCGGACGUUGAUGGGAUGGGCCUCUUUUUGUGAUUUUAAAAAGAAAAACAUAUGACUCGGUUUUGAAUGUAACUUCUGUGUCGCGUAGGAAACAACCGUGAUCGGAACACAAUGGAUUUUAUUCCACACAACGGAUAAAGAACCGAAGCUUUUAAUUUUAGGUGCGUGUUGAGGCGGAGGGAUCAACUCUGAAUGUACCUUUUAUCCCGAAUUUGCCCAUUUAUUUCUAUCAGGAAGACAGGGUCCCUCCCUGAUCUGUUCAGGUGUGGCCCCCUGCCCUGACCGCCUAGCUCCAGGUCACGGGGCCACCUGUCUCCGGGGCCCAUGGACUUAUCACCAGCCGCGGGCUUCAAGAAGAGGCCCUCGGCCCCUUCUCCAAAUGGGCACAUGGACGUGGCAAAGAGCCCCCCUCCCUACUCCCCCACCUCCAGCCCCUCCUCCCCCUCCUCCUCGCCCUCCUCCCCCUCGUCGGUGUCCUCCUGUCCCAGCGCCACGGCGACGGGCUGUCCCGACGACGUGAAGGACCCCCCGGACGGCGGCAGCGGCGGCAGGGCCAGGCUGUCCGGGGACACGGUGUCGUCCACCUCGGCCUCGGUGCCGUCCCUCUCCAGCUCCGCCUUCUCCUCCUCGGACCGCCCCGGCCCCGGGCGCCGCGCGGCCGCCGACCGGCCCCUGGAGCGGGGCUGCAGGGAGAUAUACGACCCCUUCCACCCGACGGACGGGGAGCUGGACGGGAGGGCCAUGGAGGAGGACGACGACGACGAAGACGACGACGACGACGAAGGGGACAAAUACGACCCCUUUGACCCCACGGGCUCGCCGGCGUCGGACGGCGAGGAGGGGCCCGGCGCGGAGGAGCGGGGGGGGAAGAGGGGCGGCGGUGGAGCGGGAAAGAAGCUGAAGAAGGAGCCGCCCCCGGACUCCACCGCCCUCCUCCUCCCCCGGCCCCUCAUCAAGCUCUCGCUCCGGCGGCGGCUGGACCGGGCCCCCAACGCGAGCCAGCGGGAGCGCGGCUGCGACCUCUCGGACCACUCGGAGAUCGAGGAGGGGGAGAUCGUUCCCUCGGUCAACGAGGCGGGCGGCGGUGCCCAGCGGGCCGCCAUGAUGCCGCCGCUGCCCUCGGACGGGCCGUUCUCCGUGGGCACCAAGCCGGAGCGCGUCCUGCGGCUGCUGGACAGCGACGGCUUCGUGUCGGUGCGCACGGAGAGCGCCUGGCCGGCGGACGGCUCGCUGCAGGACGACGCCGUGGUGGUGGGCGCCGGCGACCUGCGGCGGAAGCUGGUGAGCCGGCGCAAGGAGCGCUUCCGCAACGGGCCCGCCCCCGCCGCCUCCUCCUCCCUGUCGCCUCAGCCCCAGCCGGCGCCGCCCCCGCCGCCCCCCUCGCUGCCCCCCUCCUCCCCCCCGGGGUCGCCGACCCCCCUGCUCAUCGCCCUGCCCGCCGCCGCCGCCCCUGCUGGGCAGCAAGAGCCGCAAGUCGUCCAAGAGCUCCAAGGACCGCGACCGACGGAGACGCAAGGAGGGCAAGGGCGGGGGCGACAAGGAGGAGAAGAGGAAGAAGAGCGUGGCGGCGGCGGCGACGAAGGAGAAGGCCAAGGAGAAGGCCAAGGGGGAGGGGAGUCGGGACAAGAGCCGGGAGCGGGGCCGCAGGGCUGCGGACGGGAGGGGGCGGGGCCCCGAGGAGGCCGGGGGCCGACCGAGGAGCAGCAGCAGCAACAGCCGCAAGAGGAAGAAGAGGAGGCACAGCAGCCCCGAGACGUCGCGCUCGCACAACUCGUCGGGGCGCGGUGCCCACAGCCGGCGCUCGUUCUCCAGCCCCUCGGAGGAGCGACCGAGGGAGAGGGACCGGGAGAGGGAGAGGGACCACGACCGGGACAGGGACCACGACCGGGACAGGGACCACGACCGGGACAGGGACAGGGAGCGGGAGAGGGAGCGGGAACGAGACCGAGACAAGGAGAGGGACCGAGACCGAGGGCGGAGCGGGGACCGCGGCCGCCGCGCCAAAGACCGGAAGGACCGGGACUCCAGCCACGGCAAGCGGGAGCGGGACCGGGACCUGGACCGGGAACGGGACGGCAAGGAGCGCUCCAGCAGCAGAGAGCGCUCCGGCACCAAGAAGUCCAAACACGGGCGUGAAGGGCGCCGGCGGGUGGAGGAGGUGGUGGAGGAGGAGGAGGUGGAGCGCGACGGGCGGCCGUGGGAGCGGCGGCGGCGGCGCGACGGGCGCCCGGUGGUGCCGCCGUCCAUCCAGGACCUCAACGGCUCGGACCUCUUCGCCAUCAAGCGCACCAUCACGGUCACCACCACCGUCCCGGGCUCGCCGCCCGAGCCCGAGCCCGCCUCGCCCCCCAGCCCCGCCCCCGCCCGCGGCUCGGACCGCUCCCUGAAAAGGAAGAAGAAGAGGAAGCGGCGGCAGGCGGAGGAGGCGGCGGAGGGGGGCGGAGCCUACCGCAGCCGCUCGCGCUCGCCGCCGCGCUACCACAGCUACGACUCGGAUCACUACUCGGACAAGCUGGAGAUCGACCUGCGGUCGCUGGACGGCGAGGCGCUGGACUCGGACUACCCCUCUCUGGAGGACACGCCCCCCGCCGCCCUGCCCCCCGAGCCGCCGCUGCGCUCCCCCAAGGCCAAGACCGCCGCCGCCGCCCCCAAGGCCGGGCGCCACCACCCCAAGAAGAAGUCCCACGACGCCAAGUCGCGGGACAUCCCGGCCGAGUCGUCGGCCUCCUCCUCUUCUGCGGCGCGCACCAAGAGCAAAGGCCCCUCCCCGCCCCGGGCCCGCCGACCCCCCCGCCCCCCCGGCCCCCAAGCGGGGCCGCAAGGCGGGCAAGGACAAGGAGCGGGACAAGGCGGGCCGCAAGGACUCGGCCCGCUCGGGGGGCAAGGCGCUGAAGAAGGAGGGCGGGGGGGGGGGCCGCAAGGGCAAGCUGCAGUCCAAGGUGUCGGUGAUGGUGAGGGAGGGGGUCAGCAGCACCACGGGGGCCCCCAGCAGCUCCGGGAAGCUGGGCAUGGACCUGGGGUCCACGGGGGGCGGGGGGGGCCCCGUGGUGGGCGGCUCCAUCGCGGUGGUGUUCCGCCGGGACAACGAGAGCCGGUCUCCGUUCCUGAAGCCCUGCUCGGAGCCCCUCUUGCUGGCCGGCCGCGGCAAGGAGCCGGGCAAGAGGGGCAAGCGCAGCGCGCUGGCCGCCCCGCCCACCGCCGCCGCCCGGGCCAAGAAGGCCACGCCCAGCUCCACCACCUCCACCUCCUCCUCCGCCUCCUCACCCUCCUCCACGCUCGCCACCAAGCGUCGCCGCCGCGCCGCCAAGAAGCCCAAGGACCAGGGCGGGGCCGGCGGGGGGGCGGGGCCCCUGGGGGGCGGGGCCGCCGGGUGCCCCGAGGUCCGCGCCGAGGACUGGGGCGGGGCCCGCGCCGAGAGCCCGCCGGCCGCCGGCGCCGCCGGCACGCGGCUCAGCCCCCACCCGGCCCCCGCCGGCCCCGUGCCCAGCUCCUCCUCCUCCUCCUCGUCUUCGUCCUCGGCCGGGGGGGCGCC
ensembl:lncRNA